rnacentral:rRNA from 1 species
GACGAACCGUGCGAACGUUGUUCGGAAUCACUGGGCUUAAAGGGCGCGUAGGCGGCCCGCCCAGUCCGAGGUGAAAGCCCCCGGCUCAACCGGGGAAGGGCCUUGGAUACUGGCGGGCUCGAGGGGGAUAGGGGCGGACGGAACUUCCGGUGGAGCGGUGAAAUGCGUUGAUAUCGGAAGGAACGCCGGUGGCGAAAGCGGUCCGCUGGGUCCCCACUGACGCUGAGGCGCGAAAGCCAGGGGAGCAAACGGGAUUAGAAACCCCCGUAGUCC